rnacentral:rRNA from 1 species
GACGAACGCUGGCGGCGUGCUUAACACAUGCAAGUCGAACGGAAAGGCCCUGCUUUUGUGGGGUGCUCGAGUGGCGAACGGGUGAGUAGCACGUGAGUAACCUGCCCUUGACUUUGGGAUAACUUCAGGAAACUGGGGCUAAUACCGGAUAGGAGCUCCUGCUGCAUGGUGGGGGUUGGAAAGUUUCGGCGGUUGGGGAUGGACUCGCGGCUUAUCAGCUUGUUGGUGGGGUAGUGGCUUACCAAGGCUUUGACGGGUAGCCGGCCUGAGAGGGUGACCGGCCACAUUGGGACUGAGAUACGGCCCAGACUCCUACGGGAGGCAGCAGUGGGGAAUAUUGCACAAUGGGCGGAAGCCUGAUGCAGCAACGCCGCGUGCGGGAUGACGGCCUUCGGGUUGUAAACCGCUUUCGCCUGUGACGAAGCGUGAGUGACGGUAAUGGGUAAAGAAGCACCGGCUAACUACGUGCCAGCAGCCGCGGUGAUACGUAGGGUGCGAGCGUUGUCCGGAUUUAUUGGGCGUAAAGGGCUCGUAGGUGGUUGAUCGCGUCGGAAGUGUAAUCUUGGGGCUUAACCCUGAGCGUGCUUUCGAUACGGGUUGACUUGAGGAAGGUAGGGGAGAAUGGAAUUCCUGGAGGAGCGGUGGAAUGCGCAGAUAUCAGGAGGAACACCAGUGGCGAAGGCGGUUCUCUGGGCCUUUCCUGACGCUGAGGAGCGAAAGCGUGGGGAGCGAACAGGCUUAGAUACCCUGGUAGUCCACGCUGUAAACGGUGGGUACUAGGUGUGGGGUCCAUUCCACGGGUUCCGUGCCGUAGCUAACGCUUUAAGUACCCCGCCUGGGGAGUACGGCCGCAAGGCUAAAACUCAAAGGAAUUGACGGGGCCCCGCACAAGCGGCGGAGCAUGCGGAUUAAUUCGAUGCAACGCGUAGAACCUUACCUGGGUUUGACAUGGAUCGGGAGUGCUCAGAGAUGGGUGUGCCUCUUUUGGGGUCGGUUCACAGGUGGUGCAUGGCUGUCGUCAGCUCGUGUCGUGAGAUGUUGGGUUAAGUCCCGCAACGAGCGCAACCCUUGUUCACUGUUGCCAGCACGUUAUGGUGGGGACUCAGUGGAGACCGCCGGGGUCAACUCGGAGGAAGGUGGGGAUGACGUCAAGUCAUCAUGCCCCUUAUGUCCAGGGCUUCACGCAUGCUACAAUGGCUGGUACAGAGAGUGGCGAGCCUGUGAGGGUGAGCGAAUCUCGGAAAGCCGGUCUCAGUUCGGAUUGGGGUCUGCAACUCGACCUCAUGAAGUCGGAGUCGCUAGUAAUCGCAGAUCAGCAACGCUGCGGUGAAUACGUUCCCGGG